GUGAUGUAAUGUCCAACAAUGUUGAAGGUGAAAAUAGCGAGACGAAGGCAGAGAAAGACAUCGACUGAAGGAUUUGUGAACAAAGCAGUACUGGAUUUCCGACUUUUUAAAUCUAAAUAAGGAUUAAUUUAAACAAAUUAACGUUUUCAACGACGGUUUUUUUAAUCUUCGGAUAUUGCCGUUUGCUGGAUGAACGACAUAACACUGGAAACUAUUUUUCCCCAUUUCAACGUCGAUUAAGGUUCUUUAUACCUUAUUUUAAUAUGAUGAAAUUUGUCUUUUCAUUUAACCCCACCCGAUAAAGUUUGUACCUUUAAUUGAUUAAAAACGUUGCCCUUGAGCAGUAAUGGCCACUUUCUAUUUUUUUUUUCUUUUUUAUUGUUCUCCUUUCACGGACAACACGGUUGGCUUCGCAGUGACGUCACAAAUACCCGUAUGUGGGCAGGGUCGGAGCUACGAGGGGAGAGAGGCACGCCCGGAGCGUCGACGGGGAACUGCGCAUGCGCGAUGCAGAUAGCGAGGUUAUUUACAUUCCGAUAACUUUGACUUCGAAACGUGAACAUGAAAACUUACAUAUUACGUGAAAGUUAGGUUAAUAUUAAUACCCCCGCCCCACAAAAGGAUUUGUUUAAACGGGAUGUUUCAAAGUUAAAAUUACGCUAACCGCUACAAUGGCUUCACAAGCUCCACUACGGCUCUGUGGUUGCUAUGUGAACGACUUCUCAGCUGUCCAAUCAGCGAACGGCUUGCGAAGCUUUCCAGCCAAUCCGAGCGCGAGAGGAAUGUGGUUGGGGAAGGAGAACAGCGCAUAGACGGGACGCCAUUAAAAAUUCCGCCGUUUGCACUAUUAAAAACGUGUCACGUUUUAUUAAAGAUAUUAGAGGGCUUAAAUAAAGUAUUUAAGUGAACUUGAUAAAUAUAAGCUCACUUUUUUGCACAUAAAGCGUUUAAAUAUCGGGGAUUUUUAAAUCUGUGCCAGUUCAGCUCUGUGGGUGUGGCCUGCUUUUUUUAUCCUAGAAAAUGGCCGCCGCUGAGUAUGUUUCGGAGUGAUGAACUAUUCUAAUCUUAAAUCCUUCCUGUGUUUACUGUUUGUUUACAACUCGUUUAUUUUUGGCUUUAUUUAUGAUGAAGGCUAAAAAGGAAAUCCGUGUGCCGGAAGUAGUGUGACGUCGCAGUGUGUUUGCGCACGCCAACGAUUUUUAACCGUUGAGCGUGCGCGCGCUUAUCUGUUCUGUAUUCUAGAAAACACACCCGGAAGUACGACCAACCAAUCAGAAGACAGAACCGAAUUCUUUACCUUCCUGUGUGGAAAUGUAAAGCAAAAGAGCUCAGAAGUUUUCUUUUUCUUUCUUUCAUUUUCUUUCUUUCUUUUAUUUUUUAAUUUGUUGUAUAAACAGUAAAUUUACAUAUUAGGCUUGUAAAUGUGUACUAAAAUAAGAUUUUUUGUUUUAUAGUAUGUUAAACUGUAAUUUGCAUCAUUGUGCAUAUUAAUGUUAUUUUAAAAUGAGUUUAGUUAAGAUUACAGUAGAUUCAUGUUGUUUAUUUACAUUCUGAACGUUAGAUUAGAAAUUUAACAACUUUGUGUUUUGAAAAAACAAACAAACAUUAAUGCAACAUUUUAAACCUGUUUAAUUCAAUUGACUGGUCUGAGGUCUUUAAUAAUAGAUAAUAAAGUCGCUUUUUUGUUGCCGAGUGAAAACGUGUUUAUUUCUGUACGUGUCAUUGAUGUAAAGCCUCUUCUUACAGUUUGUACUGAGUUCACAUUUCACGCCUGAUUUGGGUAAAAGUCAGAAGGAAACAUUUAGUAGGAGGGAAUUUCCUGUUUUGGUUUUAAAUCAGAGUUUUGAAACUUGCUGCUGUCGUUUCUCGCCCUCUUCUUACAUAAACACCUUUUCACUCAUUCAACCGCCAACAAAACAAUUAAAACACAAGCCAAUUCCAUUGUCUGCGUUUUAUUUAUUUUUUUAGAGUGAGGUGUAUUUAAUUUCUAUUCUGAAAUAUUCUUUUUUAUUUAUUUCCUGUGUUAAAUAUUGAAAUGUGUGUGUGGGGGUUGUUUUUAAAAUCUUAUGUUCUCUGAGAAAGGGACAAAACUGAGGUUUUAUAGUACAAACACUUGUCAAUUGAGAGAGUCAUGUCUUUUCUAUUUAAUUAAAUGCAACACAGCCAUCCAUAAUGAGCUACUCUUCUACCUUUGACUGUAUGUCUGGGAUUAAAACUAUACCCGUUUCUUUAUUUAAUUGUUUAGACAAACACAUUUCCCUGAUUGCCUUAAAUAGUUUGUAAUUAUGUUAUGUGAGGGAAAUUAUUCAUUUUUACUUUGUAAUAGUAUUGUUCUUGUUCUGUUUCAUUCUCAUCUGAGGAUAACGCCUAAGAAGGCCACGUCAUGUCACUGAGAUCAGUACAGAAUGUUUAUCUGCUUACAGAGACACAAACAUGUUCUUCUGUUCAAGAGGACGAGUCUGUGAGUGUUGUCUAAUUUUCCCAACAAUUUGGCGUCUCCUGGCUGGACUGCACGAGUCUUUCAGCUUUUCUGGACAACAAGCAAACCAGAGGACGCUCGCGGAAAAGUUUUCACCCUGAAGUCCGUGUUCGCACGCAGGCGGUUUGCCCUUUGUUGUGUAAAGUGAAAGACUGAUGCAGCCUUACCACUGACCGGUAGGAAUCAUCAAGAAUUUAGAAUGAGAAUUUUAUGAAGUCAAUGUGUAUUGCUGUCUCUAUGGAAGGGAACAUCCAGGAACUUCGCCUCUGCGACGGCAGAGAUAUUGGUGUUUCUUAGAUCACAGCUUCAAAAUUAAGAUCUAUACUGACGGAAAGCCGAUCCCGACCUGGACUCCGCCCCACCAUGACACCCACAGCCAGGAAGGAGGGAGGAACCUGCAGUUUGAGAGGCACCUCUUCACGAUGAAGCGGCCCAGCCUACACCACUCUAUCCGAACCUGUCAGAACUGAUCCACCAACCCCCACCGAACUAUGCUCCAGCCGUCCUAUCUUCACCGGUGGCGUUACACACGAGAUCCCAAGUGAAUGGACCAACAGCAUUGCUGCCUGAGGGCUUCAGACCAACAAAAUCAGACAGAGAAGGGACAGUGCACGCCGUGGUAAAUGCCCCAAUGCUGGAGGUGGCCAGAGGAGGAGGCCCUAUGCUAGUUGACAUACCCUGGAUAUUGGAAGACAUCAGGAGCAGCAUGAUGCAUUUGCCGGUGCUCCACGAAGUAGGACAACAAAAGUUUGGGGAUGAACUUCUGAGAAUUCAGACCCACCACUCAUGAACUACGACGACUGCUCAUGGCGAAACUUGGCCCGGACUGGGUCAAGGUUUCACCUGAAUUCCCAGAGAACGAUGUCCGCCUGAUCAACCCACAGUGGGCUGAUGGAGUCAACACAAGGUACAGAGCACAAAUCACGGCGUUCAAGCAGAGGCUGACAAACACCUUUCCUGUGCACCUGGACGUGACAAAAAUAGCAAAGUAUCUAUCUCGUCUCACUGAAGUCCAUGAUGCAA
ensembl:lncRNA